UCAGAAUCGGGUUCACCGGACCUUGCAGUGACAGAAGGAGAACGUAAACAGGUCUUGACGGUGAGCAGACGGUAGAAACCCAAGCAUAAGUGCUUGUUUAACAUCAACACAACUUACUUUAUGCUCUUCGUUUGAGAGGCUCCAUGGCAUCUGUUGGGUGGAAAUAUUUAAAAUCUCUGAAAUAUGUCAGAGAUAUAAUGCUUUUGACGAAUGCUCGGCAAAAGGGUUUCAUGGACGAAAAAUGUCAAAUGGACAUUGUGAGGCAAGUUGAGGAGAGCAUAAAGCCCAAACCACAGUUUGAUCAUCAAAAAAACGAGAACAAGGAUAUGACACAGAUGGAGAACAAACAGAAAGUGUCACAAUCAAGAGCAAUAAAUACAGCAAAACUUAAAUGCAACAGCUUGGAGAGUCUGAGACCAAAUUAUUUUAGACCUUGGUCAUAUUUCUGAACUCAAACAGCACUUUCCAGUGGAACGGGUUUGGUCACCAUAAGCUUUUGUGUUAAACACACUACAUGUUUCUAUUCAACUUACAUUUCAUAAUCAGUCAAGAAGGCAGACUCACACAAUGACAGUUUUUUCCUUUUUUAAUUAUCUGUCACCUGUAUAUUGUUUCGUUUGAUGUACUGGGAUUUUAUCUUAUUUGUCUGAUAUGGUCACUGCAAAAUAAGCAUUAUUUUUCCAACCUUUUAUCGCAUUGUAUUUGUUUUAUUGCACUUUAUUGCUUGCACUAUUAAUACUUUGUGCAUUUAGUAUCUCAUGUGAAGCCUCACAUCAUAUAAACUAAAGUGUUUUUUGUU